rnacentral:misc_RNA from 1 species
CACCACUCAAGCCUCGCUUGGUAUUGGGCGUCGCGGUCCGCCGCGUGCCUCAAAUCGACCGGCUGGGUCGAUCGCACCCUCAGCGUUGUGGCAACAUCAUUCGCUAAAGGGACCGCGGUCGGUCACGCCGUGAAACAAACCAAUUUUUCAAUGGUUGACCUCGGAUCAGGUAGGGAUACCCGCUGAACUUAAGCAUAUCAAUAAGCGGAGGAAAAGAAACCAACAGGGAUUGCCCUAGUAACGGCGAGUGAAGCGGCA